CCAGGCCUAUGAAACACGUGAUAAACUCAUGGGAAAACACACAGAAUUAGCCGAAGAUGGAGCUAUUGAGAUAGUAAUCAUUAAAACUACCGGUGAUAAAAUACUUGAUCAACCACUAGCUGAUAUUGGUGGCAAAGGUUUAUUCACCAAAGAGAUAGACGAGGCACUCUUGGAUGGUAGAAUUGAUAUUGCAGUUCAUUCGAUGAAAGAUGUGCCUACAUAUUUUCCUGAUGGGAUGAUCUUACCAUGCAACCUCCCACGAGAAGACGUAAGGGAUGCAUUUAUCUGCUUGACUGCAA
rnacentral:misc_RNA from 1 species